UACAUGUGGGGCAAGCGCUGUUCGGAAUUACUGGGCAUAAAGGGUGCGUAGGCGGCUUGGUAAGUCAGUGGUGAAAUCUCCAGGCUUAACUUGGAAACUGCCAUUGAUACUAUCAAUCUUGAAUACCGUGGAGGUCAGCGGAAUAUGUCAUGUAGCGGUGAAAUGCUUAGAUAUGACAUAGAACACCAAUUGCGAAGGCAGCUGGCUACACGAAUAUUGACACUGAUGCACGAAAGCGUGGGGAUCAAACAGG
rnacentral:rRNA from 1 species